rnacentral:piRNA from 1 species
UAAGAGAGAAAUAAGAGACUU